rnacentral:rRNA from 1 species
GCACAAGCGGUGAGCAUGUGGUUUAAUUCGAAGCAACGCGAAGAACCUUACCAGGUCUUGACAUCCCGAUGCUAUUUCUAGAGAUAGAAAGUUACUUCGGUACAUCGGUGACAGGUGGUGCAUGGUUGUCGUCAGCUCGUGUCGUGAGAUGUUGGGUUAAGUCCCGCAACGAGCGCAACCCUUGUCCUUAGUUGCCAGCAUUAAGUUGGGCACUCUAAGGAGACUGCCGGUGUUAAACCGGAGGAAGGUGGGGAUGACGUCAAGUCCUCAUGGCCCUUAUGUCCAGGGCUACACACGUGCUACAAUGGCCGGUACAAAGGGCUGCAAUACCGCAAGGUGGAGCGAACCCCAAAAAGCCGGUCUCAGUUCGGAUUGGAGUCUGCAACUCGACUCCAUGAAGUUGGAAUCGCUAGUAAUCGCGGAUCAGCAUGCCGCGGUGAAUACGUUCCCGGGCCUU